rnacentral:rRNA from 1 species
GAUGAACGCUAGCGAUAGGCUUAACACAUGCAAGUCGAGGGGUAACGUGUUGGAAGCUUGCUUCCGAUGACGACGACCGGCGGAUGGGUGCGUAACGCGUAUGCAACUUGCCUCACAGUGGAGAAUAACCCGGAGAAAUCCGGACUAAUACUCCAUACACUCUUAAGUACGCCUGUACAUGAGAGGAAAGAUUUAUCGCUGUGAGAUAGGCAUGCGUCCUAUUAGGUAGUUGGUGAGGUAACGGCUCACCAAGCCGACGAUAGGUAGGGGUGCUGAGAGGCAGAUCCCCCACAUUGGGAGUGAGACACGGCCCACACUCCUACGGGAGGCAGCAGUGAGCAAUCUUGGUCAAUGGAGGAAACUCUGAACCAGCCAAGUCGCGUGAAGAAAGAAUGUCCUAAGGAUUGUAAACUUCUUUAGCGAGCGAGUAAGGACUUCCACGUGAUGGGAGUUUGAAAGUAGCUCGAGAAUAAGUAUCGGCUAACUCCGUG